GAUGAAGAACGUAGCGAAAUGCGAUAAGUAGUGUGAAUUGCAGAAUUCAGUGAAUCAUCGAAUCUUUGAACGCACAUUGCGCCUUCCUGGAUUUUUCCGGGAGGCAUGCCUGUCCGAGCGUCAUAAAAACCACUUCAAGCCUGGCAUUUCUAAUGCCCCCAGUGUCUUGGUCUAUGAGGGAUGAGCGGCGUAAUAACGUGCUGCUCCCCCUCGAAUUCUAGUGGCGGGACAAUCUUUGAAAAGUUUCAGCCGGUGUAGUAACAAAUUCUUUUUUCUCUCGCCGCCGUUCGAAUCCGGACGAAACCAUGGAACAGCUCAUCGAUUUUGUUGUCCUUGCCAACUUUUAACCCAAAUUAUUAAAUGUUUUGACCUCGGAUCAGGUAGGGAUACCCGCUGAACUUAAGCAUAUCAAUAAGCGGAGGA
rnacentral:misc_RNA from 1 species